CUUCACCGAACCCAGCCACAACGGCCGGUCUCGGUCCUGGCCAUAAGUGGCCAACAAUGCCUGGGCCUC
rnacentral:antisense_RNA from 1 species